rnacentral:rRNA from 1 species
AGGAAGCGAGAAGUCGACGCGCCGCAAGGCGUCCGGCCCUCCGCGAGCACCCGCGGGGGAUCGGGUUCCGGACCCGGUCCGAUCCCGAUCCCACCGAGGGGCUGUCCGCGAUCAUGGAGGUGUCCUCGGACGGCGUCGAAUCCUUCUCCAGUCCGCGACGCUACGGCUUGGAUGGUCCACCCGACCCGUCUUGAAACACGGACCAAGGAGUCUAACAUGCGCGCGAGUCGUUGGGUCGGACACGCUCCGCUAAACCCAUAGGCGCAAUGAAAGUGAAGGCCGCCGUCGGGCGGCCGAGGGAGGACGGGGCCGGCCGCGCGUUUCGGCGCGCGUCGGUCCCCGCACCCCCGGGGCGUCUGAUCCCUCAUCGCGAGGGGAGGCGCACCCAGAGCGCACACGUUGGGACCCGAAAGAUGGUGAACUAUGCCUGGCCAGGACGAAGUCAGGGGAAACCCUGAUGGAGGUCCGUAGCGAUUCUGACGUGCAAAUCGAUCGUCGGAGCUGGGUAUAGGGGCGAAAGACUAAUCGAACCAUCUAGUAGCUGGUUCCCUCCGAAGUUUCCCUCAGGAUAGCUUGCGCUCGGAGGAGAGUCUCAUCCGGUAAAGCGAAUGAUUAGAGGCCUUGGGGCCGAAACGGCUUCAACCUAUUCUCAAACUUUAAAUGGGUGAGAACUCCGGCUUGCUCGACUUGUCGAAGCCGGAGACGGGGCUCCGGCCCCCGGGAUCGGAGUGCAUAGUGGGCCACUUUUGGUAAGCAGAACUGGCGCUGUGGGAUGAACCAAACGACGGGUUAAGGCGCCCGAAUCGACGCUCAUGGGAAACCAUGAAAGGUGUUGGUUGCUUAAGACAGCAGGACGGUGGCCAUGGAAGUCGGAAUCCGCUAAGGAGUGUGUAAUAACUCACCUGCCGAAGCAACUAGCCCUGAAAAUGGAUGGCGCUGAAGCGUCGUGCCUAUACCCGGCCGUCGCGGCAGGGCGGACCCGCAAGGGUGCCGUUCGAUGCGGCGACGAGUAGGAGGGUCGCGGCGGCGCGCGCAGAAGGGUCUGGGCUCGAGCCUGCCUGGAGCCGCCGCCGGUGCAGAUCUUGGUGGUAGUAGCAAAUACUCCAGCGAGGCCCUGGAGGACUGAUGUGGAGAAGGGUUUCGUGUGAACAGCCGUUGCACACGAGUCAGUCGAUCCUAAGCCCUAGGAGAAAUCCGACGCCAACGGCGACGGGAAAAACGAAAGAGAGAAAAAAACCCGUUGAUCGGGCGAAAGGGAAUCCGGUUCCUAUUCCGGAACCCGGCAGCGGAACCGCUGUUUGUCGGGCCCUCACAAGGGGUUCGUCAGGGUAACCUAAAAGGGCCCGGAGACGCCGUCGGGAGCCCCGGAAAGAGUUUUCUUUUCUGCAUGAGCGUUCGAGUUCCCUG